ensembl:lncRNA
UUAAUAGUAAAAUAUAUUUAUUGGCAUUAUUCGAAUACAUUGCACACAGAUCUACCCAUUAUGUCUUUUCAAAAUUUUAACAUUUUGAUCAGUAUCACAAUGACUUUAUCUCUUUUGUCCUGAGUAACCUGUGCUGUUUAUUAAAAUAGAAAUCACUUAUUCAGUGUACAAUUUUAAGGUACAAAAAAGAGUGAACUUACAUAUACAGUGUUAUUUUUUUAAAUAUGAGUUUAAAAUUUACAGAUAUUGAUAACAUGGAUAUUGUAAGAUAUUGUAACAUUGCUGAAGUGAAACAUAAUUACAGUAUAUUUGUUAAAAUGCUAAAUGCUAUAAAAGAGUGUUCAUGAAUCAUGCUGCUCAAAGUCAAAGUCUGAUCUCAGAGGUAUAUCACAAUGCAUCAUUGAAGAAUAUUCACAUGAAAUGUCAAAUAAUGCACAUUUAAAAACAUUAGAUGGAUUACAAUAAUAAAAAAAAAUCAAUCUUUUUAUUAGAAAACAAAAUCCUUAACAGUUAGAUUAGCUACUGCACUGAAGGCAGGCUCUCCCGGUAGGAACUUCCCUAGAACGUAUGACAACAGCAUCUAUGGACACACACACACAAAGAAUUUAAAUGUUAAUCUGGAUGUACAUUUCAAAAUGGAUUUUAACUGCAUAAUCUCAUCUUGAGUCCUUACAUAAACAAGUUUCUUGUUCUCCUCUGUGUCCUGGAAGAUCUUGAACAAAGUUUCAACUUCAGUCUUCUUGAGGAUUAAAGAGUUUGAAUCUAAAACCACCACAACAAUUACUGCAUAUUGACAGAGCACUUAUAAAGCCAUCGACGAAGUCAGACUGUAAGCCUUCAGUAUGGUCCAUGUCUGAGAUUGAGAUAUCACUGGAGUGUCCUAAAGGACUGACUAAUUUUGAUCUAUUAACAAAGACAUCUAAACUUUCAGCAAGACUCUCCUGUCCAUCUGAAACCACAUCCUGUUCAUCAGAGGUCUGAUCUUCCAUAUCUGUUUCUCUAUUUCUGAAGGUUUCAGUCUCUUCACGAGGAUUACAAAACCUAAUGUUUGUAGCUAUUGGCCCUUCUACAAUGCCCUCCUUUGGCUCUUCAUCUGUGUCGAUGCAGGCUGGCAGUGCUGUUGGUCCACCUCCUGCUUCAUCGAGCUUAUCAUCUCCUCUGGGGUUAUGGGACUGGGAAAAAAACAUAAUAUCACCAGAGGGUGGCAGUAUCCUCAAUAAUUGACCUUGUGCUGAAGCUAAAGCAGCUGUGCAAUGGGACACAAGAACUGGAAUACAGGCUGAGUCUGACCAAGUUGUGCAUCAGAAACCAGCUCCUGGUGGGAAAUGAGAGGAAAACAUUGCCAGACCGAACUUCCUCUGCUUCAUCUGUCAAUCUGUGGAAUUUGUGGAAACCCGAAUGAGGCCACCAAAUGAGAUUAAUAUGAUAAAUAUGCUUAAACUAUGUUUUUGAUAUGACUUACACUUCUUCUUCUUCUUCUUCACUUCCUACGGACGAUGGUGUGCCUUCCCUAUCUGAGUUUAGCAGGUCUCCUGUUGAUCUUUUAGAGGUUACUCUAUCCAGUUGCAAAACUACCAUCUGAUUCAAGUUGUCUGAAUUACAGAGGCAUGUCACGAGCACAUCAAGAGCUAGAGAUGGACAACAGGACGAAAAAAGAAUCAGUGUAUUAGUAGAAAACACACAAUACAAUAAGAACAGCACA